CACAGGUAGGCGGGGCAGUGGCGGGAUUUCUGACGGUGUGUGGGCGGGGCUCUAAGCAGGGGCCCUCCUACCACAGGAACCGUAGCCCUGAUGUCAUCGCUAGGGGGUGGUGCCGAGGCUCUUCCGGGUAGGAGCAGAAUUACCCUGGCAGGAACUUGGGAGAGCUGAGGACUGAAGCCCCGGAUAUGCUGCUCUAAUGACUGUAGGAGGAUUGCACUGCUCUGCCUUCCCAUUAUUUUUUGUCUUCCUAGAUCCUCUUCCUCUGCUGUCUUCUUUUGGCUGUCUACCACAAACGCCAAUCACUACUAACCUGAUGGCAGACAGUUUGAGGUGGUCCCCAUGACAUUCUUAGUUUUCCAAAUGUGCCCUUGGGUUCUAAAAGGCUGGCGCUAAGAUUAUUUAAUGAAACCAGCAACAUGGAACAUACAUUUUACCAAUGUUAACCACUGUUAAAAGAUUUCCCAUCUGUUUAAGGUACAAUUCAGGAUACUGUUUUUUCUUUAAAACACAGUAGGUAGUAGAUUAGAUCAAGGACUAUCUGCUCCACAUUACAGGCUGUAGCACAUAUAUUUUAUACUGGCGAGGCAUUUGAAUACUGGGGUAAACUAUUUUCAGGUGUGGUUUUACUGAUAUUUUAUGCUGCUUAGUUGUUACUGUUACAAUAUUGUGAUUUAUAUUAUUUGUUGUUUUGCAUGAUUGUUUAUUGGUUACUAGCUACCCUGAACUCAAGAUGGGAGGAAGGCCAGGAUCUAAGAAACUUGAGUAAAAAAAUAUGGACCUGCCCAGUCAUUAAGAGCUCCUUCAGAGAUUAAGGGCCUUUGCUGUGGAUUUGCCCCAGCUGUAGAACCCUUUCCCCAAAGAGGUUUCAGCUGAGCUUUUGGGACCAGGUUAAAAGAGUUUCACUGACCUCUUUCUUCUACCACACGCACAAACCAAGUCGAUGUAAAAACCAGAACUGCCCCCUGGACAUACCAUUAGCUAAUUUGCUACAGAUUCUCAUGAACAGCAGUGGAAUAUUGAUCAAGAUUUUCUGUGAAUGCAAAAGAAGACUCAAGAGACCAAAUUCUUACUCUUGUAAGGCUUUAUAAAGCAAAGGAAAGAGCUGUAAGAUAAAAGUGUACAGCCCUAUUGACCAUAUACAAAAAUAAAUCAAGAGAACACUUCUAGUGCAUCUGUUGAAUUUUGUGCACCCAGCUAGUAUCAGCAAGUGUGAUAUAGAGCAUCAUAAAAGUGUUAUGCAUGGAACCUGACCUUUUUACUGUAGUCCUUGCUGUGAUGCACAAUUAAGACAUUUUCACUGUCUUGCCACGCUGUCCUCAACCCUAUUAAUUCAACCAUACCAAUUUGCUUCAGGUUAUGAAUAUUAAAUGUAACCUGUGAAACUAAUUAUAAACAAAUUUCAAGUGAAUGUUCAAUAUAAUAUUUAACAGGAUACCGUCAAGAGAGUAGCAUGCAUUGUACAGAAACACAUUUCUUAUCCUGGUUUGAAUCACUGUGGCCUGUAACAUGAUUCCCUAAUAAAUAAAAAUAAAUUGAAUUUUA